CCUACGGGCUGCACCAGUGGGGAAUUUUGGACAAUGGGCGAAAGCCUGAUCCAGCAAUGCCGCGUGUAUGAAGAAGGCCUUCGGGUUGUAAAGUACUUUCAGCGGGGAGGAAGGUGUUGUGGUUAAUAACCACAGCAAUUGACGUUACCCGCAGAAGAAGCACCGGCUAACUCCGUGCCAGCAGCCGCGGUAAUACGGAGGGUGCAAGCGUUAAUCGGAAUUACUGGGCGUAAAGCGCACGCAGGCGGUCUGUCAAGUCGGAUGUGAAGUCCCCGGGCUCAACCUGGGAACUGCAUUCGAAACUGGCAGGCUAGAGUCUUGUAGAGGGGGGUAGAAUUCCAGGUGUAGCGGUGAAAUGCGUAGAGAUCUGGAGGAAUACCGGUGGCGAAGGCGGCCCCCUGGACAAAGACUGACGCUCAGGUGCGAAAGCGUGGGGAGCAAACAGGAUUAGAUACCCGCGUAGUC
rnacentral:rRNA from 1 species